rfam:Parcubacteria bacterium GW2011_GWA1_45_10 TW85_C0017, whole genome shotgun sequence.
CGGCGCGUAGCUCAACGGUAGAGCAUUCGUCUUAUACACGAACGGUUGAAGGUUCAAAUCCUUCCGCGCCGA